AAUACGUCCCUGCUCCUUGCACACACCGCCCGUCAAGCCAUGGAAGCCGGGUGUACCUAAAGUCGGUAACCGUAAGGAGCCGCCUAGGGUAAAACUGGUGACUGGGGCU
rnacentral:rRNA from 1 species